AUUGAACGCUGGCGGCAUGCUUUACACAUGCAAGUCGAACGGUAACAGGGUGCUUGCACCGCUGACGAGUGGCGAACGGGUGAGUAAUGCGUCGGAACGUGCCGAGUAGUGGGGGACAACGCAGCGAAAGUUGUGCUAAUACCGCAUACGUACUGAGGUAGAAAGUGGGGGACCUUCGGGCCUCACGCUAUUCGAGCGGCCGACGUCUGAUUAGCUAGUAGGUGAGGUAAGAGCUCACCUAGGCGACGAUCAGUAGCGGGUCUGAGAGGAUGAUCCGCCACACUGGGACUGAGACACGGCCCAGACUCCUACGGGAGGCAGCAGUGGGGAAUUUUGGACAAUGGGCGCAAGCCUGAUCCAGCCAUGCCGCGUGUCUGAAGAAGGCCUUCGGGUUGUAAAGGACUUUUGUCAGGGAGGAAAUCCUAGUGGCUAAUAACUGCUGGGGAUGACAGUACCUGAAGAAUAAGCACCGGCUAACUACGUGCCAGCCGCCGCCGUAAGAC
rnacentral:rRNA from 1 species